rnacentral:rRNA from 1 species
UCCGUAGGCGGGCGACUAAGUCAGAGGUGAAAUCCCACAGCUUAACUGUGGAACUGCCUUUGAUACUGGUUGUCUUGAGUUAUAAUGAAGUAGAUAGAAUAUGUAGUGUAGCGGUGAAAUGCUUAGAUAUUACAUAGAAUACCGAUUGCGAAGGCAGUCUACUAACUAUAUACUGACGCUAAUGGACGAAAGCGUGGGGAGCGAACAGGAUUAGAUACCCUGGUAGUCC